GACCCAGGUUAGGAGCAGAAGUGCAACUGAGGAGAUGGGGAAUCCCCAGCCCUGGGCUUCCCCACCCUGACCUCACCUCCUGGAGACUAAGACUUUACCUCAACCCUGUGCUGUAGGAGAGGCGCUGGGCUGCGAGCCCCACACGGACCGCACAGAGAUCAGUCUCUGUUCACCGGCAGUGGCUGUAAAGAGGAAACUUUGCCUGUUCCCUCAGGAUUUCUCUUCUCAACCUUGGCCUACACUCCUCGUGUUUCCUACACUCCUCGUGUUUCCCACACUCCUCGUGUUUCCCACACUCCUCAUGAUUCCCACACUCCUCGUGUUUCCCACACUCCUCGUGUUUCCCACACUCCUCGUGACUCCUCGUGAUUCCUCACAGAUGGAGCCUCUGUAGUUCCAGAUGGCUGUGCUUUAUUUACAAGGAUCUUCAUUCCCAGUACUGAGAUUGUCCACGUGGACAUGGGUCAUUCAGUGGAUUCACUGAAGAGAGACCCCUGUGGAGACCACAGACAGCAGGGCACUGACCCCUGUCUACACUGCACUUCCCUGUGUCUGCACUUCCACGGACAGUGGCCUUAGUGACUCAGUCACAGGUGGAGAGGAACUGUCACCGACUCUAACACAGAAUACUGAUGACAGUGUGGUAGGAGUUGUGUAACCUGUGACCCUCUCAGUCCCUCUCUGACCUUCACUCACACUGUGAGCUGAUGAGCUGAGGGACACGAAUGUCACAGCUGUGUGGGACACUGCAUCUGACAACAGAGUUGGCCCCAGAGUACCUCAGGCCUGUGCAGUGUGGACACUGGAGGAAAGAUGAUUCUCACGCCGAGAGUGCACGCUGGUGAGGUGUCCACAGCCACCCCUCAGCCUCACCAGGACUCAGAGGCACCUGUUCCAUGAGGCCCUCCAGGGUCCCACCUGUGGAAGAUGAAAGAGAAGCAUCACGGUCUUGGGCAACAGCGCCGCCUGGUGGAGGAAUAGAAGAGGACAGCGCCUGAGCCCACAGAGCUGUGGGUAAGGGGAUCCAGACUGGCUGAGCUGCCCCAGGAUAUUUGAGCUGCAGCCCCUCCCCCUUCUCAUCUGGGCCACACCUUCUGCUGGAAGCCUCCAGGAAGCCAUGGAAGAAGGGAAGGCUUGCUCUCUGUCUGCUUGCUCCUGCUCCUGCUGCAUCUGUGGGACAUCCCUACUUGCCCUCCUUGCUCUGAAUAAUGACAGCAGACUUACAUUUAUUAUGAAUGCCUGGGCUUUAUGCUAGGCCUGUUCCCAGCUCUCUCCUAACUCAGUCAUCCAUUUAUACUAUUCUAAGUUCUGUCAUGUGGCUGGUCACCUCUCCUCAGUUUCACACAUCCUGCUUCCUCAGAGUCUGGGUGGAGAAUCCCCCAUGCUUCUCUCUUCCCAGAGUUUCUCUCUCUGACCAGAAUCCUGCCUUCUACUCUCCUUUGCUACAGGACAUAGGCUUUUUAUUUUACCACGCAGAAGGUGCUUUAGGUAGACAAGGUAGGACAGAGAAUCAUCUUCACACAGUGCACAACAACAUUACUUCAGCAUUGCCCCCUUUAUUCCUAUAAAAGGCACUUUCUCUCAAAUCAUAAACUAUAUAAAGUAAGAACAAGUAUAAAAACUUAAUUUUAAAAUGUUAAGAAUUUAAUUAAGAAUUAUUAUUAAGCUGGGUGGUGGUGGCACACGCCUGUAAUCCCAGCACUCUGGGAGGCAGAGGCAGGCAGAUUUCUCAGUUCAAGGCCAGCCUGGUCUACAGAGUGAGUUCCAGGACAGCCAGAGCUACACAGAGAAACCCUGUCUCAAAAAAAACAAAAAAAAAAAAAAAACAAAUUAAAAAAGAAUUAUUUAUUUAAGAAGAAUUAAUUUUAAAAUUAAAAUUUUAAUUAAUUAUUAAUAUAAAAUAAAAGAAUUAUAUUAGUAAUGUCUGGUUCAUUUGUUUUUGACAACCAUUGAGAAAUUACUCUAUUAUCUGUCUUAUCAAUCCAAAGUCCUAUAUGUCCUAUUAGUCCAAAUCUGUGUCUAAUUCCCGUUCUAUUAUAACUUGAAAUUAUUCAACUAAAAAUUCUUCCUAGACCUAAAUCAAUUUCUUACAUCCUAAACAACUUAAGCUACUGUGAAACUGUAACUAUCUAGUCUUCCUCCCCAUCAGUGACCUGAGAAGGAUGAAUGUUACCUGAGAAACAGAAAGUGCAGAGCAAGCAGCUUCCUUCCAAAGCUGUGGGAAUGGCAGAGAUGGCUGCCUGGACAGUCACCCAAGGCUCUUCUGCAGUGCUGGGGCAUCCGUCUUCAGGCUACUGGCCUGGUAUAUGACAGACAUUUUUGUGAAGCAGGAAUAUUGAAGAACUUCCCCAACUCUUGGCAAAGCUUAUCAGUCAACUUCCUCCAUGUCCUGCUUGUCCACUGUUAGGACAGCAUGCAGUCUGCAGUUGAAGCAAGGGCAGGAUUUUGGCUGGUGCCUUGCUUUGCCACAUUUGAAGCACAAUCCAUAUGAAAUUUCUUCAGUGCCCACCAUCCUCUCUGAAUUAAAAUGGGGGUGCUGCCAGACACAGUCUUACCUCAGUGUUAUGAAUUAUGACCUCCCCCUGCCCACUGCUCUCAAGAAUAGCAGCCAGCAACCUGACCACCCACCUCCUGAAUAACAAGAAGAACAGCCUGUUCCUUACCCAUCUCUCCUUCCAGAAAACCCAUGGUUAAGAUGUGUGAGCUGGCCUCUACACCCACCAGCCUCUCUGAAUUAAAAUGGGGGUGCUGCCAGACACAGUUAUGCUUCAGUGUUAUGGAAAGCCUCAUGUUAAUAA